GGUAGAGGGUGAAUUUGAGAAUAUGCCUGGCUCCCUGUAUGCCACAGGCAAACUCCCAAUCCCAAAUUGUUGGUUUUCUAUCAGAUUGGUUGUUGCUGGUGGCGUACAUGGAGUCAAGCAUGUAGUAUAUGCGCCCUCUUUC
rnacentral:pre_miRNA from 1 species